UCGACAUCCACCUAUUCCAUGUAAUGAAAAAGACAACAGAUAUCAGCUGGAGUUAUUUUAUUUAAUUGAAGAAGGACACUCAGCAUUUUAUUACCUCUUGAAAGUCUGAAUAGUAAAGUAUUUUCUACAGACGAUGAAUUCUUAUUCAGUAUAGCUUGUGGCUUACAAAUGAUCCAUUCAUACCAUCCACAGCUAUUUAAAAACAAUAUGUGCCUUUGAGUUCUCUGCUACUAAAUCUAGGAGACAUCAGGAAGAGCAAGAUUUUCGAUGCAGCUAUACAGUCUUCUUUUAGAGUGAUGGUUCUCAAAGUGUGGUACCUAGACAAGCAGUGUCAGCCCCAUCACUGAAAGAGAUCAGAAACA
rnacentral:lncRNA from 1 species